AAUGUAUGACACCGUUGACUUUUUAUCCAACAUUUGACCAUUCGUCUUAUUCAAAAAAUUUAUACAAUUAUCAUUAAUUUUAUUGUGACUCGAUUCAUUAUCAAAUGUUCUUUAAGCAUGAUAUAAAUACUUUCAUAUUUGCACGAAAAUUUUGAAUAAAACGAAUGGUUAAACGUUGGUCGAAAAAUCAACGGCGUCAUACAUU
rfam:Oryza glaberrima chromosome 12 Oglab12_0269_1, whole genome shotgun sequence.